GUUCCCCAUGUUGCAGAUGAGGGAGUCCUGGAGAGAGAGAGAAUGUACCCCAACCCACACAGUAAAAGCCUGAGGCAGGUUUAAACUCACACUGGGUGGCUCAGAAGCUGCCUCGUUUAAACACGACACUUUUCUAGAAUCCUGCACGAAGGCCUUUCUUUAGACUUUUAUUCUGUAGGCCACAUCAGGGUAAAAUUAGAUUCCAUCUCAAGAAAACAUCCAAGGUUUCCAUCAUUAAAACUUUUAAGAAUGUGUAUCACAGAUCAUUAAAAUCAGAUAUUUGCCUGCUCCAAUGUUCAAAUGAUUUUAUCAGAGAAACCUAAUCUGCUCUCUGCCUCCUCUCACAUAGCCCGAUGCCCGCACAACAAAGGGGAUUCUUUAUCUUGAACACUGGUAGUUUCGCAGAGCUUUUCAUUACUCUAAUAUUUUCCCCAGCAGUCAUUCAUAUUACAAUGGUUAAAGAAAUUAGUGGUCAAAUAACAUAUUGAAAGGGGAGACCUUCUGUGUUAAAAAUGACCGUCUUUAUUCCGUUGUGAAGCAAAAUUAUCAUUAGCAAGUAGUAAGUGUUGAUAUAUUUUAAUAUGCGACUUCUGUGGACGUCAAGGCUGUUUUAUAGACAACAAUUCUCAGGUCUUCAGCUGAAGGUAGCUAAUGGCUUUAUGGGAGGAACAAUGAAGCACAGGUGGGCAACAGGCACCUGGCCCAAAUUGGAGGUGACACCUCACAUGGUCCCUACUCAGCCUUCUUGGCUGACCCUGAUGAUUCCCCCUCCCUGAGGCUGGUUUCUUGGGCCUAUGACCUGUGCCAUCAUACAAAGACCCUCACUUACAGAGGCCCUAUGCUUGGCUUAAUGCUCUGCCACCACCAUCUUGAAAUUCUCAAUAAUUUUGAACAAAGGGCCCCAUGUUUUCAUUUUGCACUGUGUCCCCAAGUUAUGAAGCCAUUCCUGCCCCUUUCAUCCUCAUUCCCUCUGUGCCCCGAGUGCCCCUGGCUUUUCCUAGGACUCAGGAAUGGACUAGGACUCAGUUCCUAGGACUUGACUCAUCUGUCUCUUCCUCUGUCUAGAAUGCCCCCUCUGAUCAUUCCCACCCAGGCUGCUCAAGUGUGAAAAUUUCUGAGUGUGGGCACAGGACAGUUCAGCCUCUCCACGCUCUGCUAAGCUUCAAGCUGAGCCUAGUUGCCCUGAAAGCGGGUGACCUGUGGCAGUCACCACCUUUUCCUAGGACCUGUGCCAAGUGCACACACCAGUUCCUUUCCCUUCCCUUCUGCCAGGUUAUUUAUUUCCUCUCCGAGGGAUCAGCUUACUUGCACAUCAGAAUUGACUGGCACGUACCAAGGCCAAUGAAGGAGCAAGUCUUUACCAGCAUCUCCACCCACUCCCCCAAUUCUCUCUGAUGCCUAUAUUCACAGGAGCCUUCUCAGGGAAAGAAUCCCAUUGACAUAAUUUCCAUCAAAGCAAGAAGAAGAGGAUGUCACCUUUUCACACAAAGCCCAAAUAUGGGGCAAAUGAAAGCACCAGGAAAAAGGAACUGCGGAGGACAGAGGUGCCUUGCCGUUAUGGACUGAACGUUUGUAUGAAUGUGGUUGUCUAUAAGCCACGAAGCGGGCCCUCACAGGAACCCAAUCUGCCUGCGCCUGGAUCUUGGACUCCCCAGCCUCCAAAAUGGUGUGAAAUAAAGGUCUUCUUAAGCCAC
rnacentral:lncRNA from 1 species